CGGUAAUGUGCCGGUGACGGUGCCUCGCUCCCGCGAGGUGAAAAGGGAACGCGGUCGAAAGCCGCGGCUGCCCCCGCAACUGUAGGCGGCAAGCGCCGGGCCGGAUGCCACUGGGACCCACGGGUCCCGGGAAGGCGGCCCGGGGCCGAGAGCCGCAAGCCAGGAGACCUGCCGUCGCCGAUCCACGCGU
rnacentral:ncRNA from 2 species